AAAUUGAAGAGUUUGAUCAUGGCUCAGAUUGAACGCUGGCGGCAGGCCUAACACAUGCAAGUCGAACGGUAACAGAAAGCAGCUUGCUGCUUUGCUGACGAGUGGCGGACGGGUGAGUAAUGUCUGGGAAACUGCCUGAUGGAGGGGGAUAACUACUGGAAACGGUAGCUAAUACCGCAUAACGUCGCAAGACCAAAGAGGGGGACCUUCGGGCCUCUUGCCAUCGGAUGUGCCCAGAUGGGAUUAGCUAGUAGGUGGGGUAACGGCUCACCUAGGCGACGAUCCCUAGCUGGUCUGAG
rnacentral:rRNA from 1 species